rnacentral:rRNA from 1 species
GGUUCUGUAUGGAAGGGCCAUCGCUCAACGGAUAAAAGGUACUCUGGGGAUAACAGGCUGAUACCGCCCAAGAGUUCAUAUCGACGGCGGUGUUUGGCACCUCGAUGUCGGCUCAUCUCAUCCUGGGGCUGAAGCAGGUCCCAAGGGUAUGGCUGUUCGCCAUUUAAAGAGGUACGCGAGCUGGGUUUAGAACGUCGUGAGACAGUUCGGUCCCUAUCUACCGUGGGCGCUGGAAAUUUGAGAGGAUCUGCUCCUAGUACGAGAGGACCAGAGUGGACGAACCUCUGGUGUACCGGUUGUGACGCCAGUCGCAUCGCCGGGUAGCUAUGUUCGGAAGGGAUAACCGCUGAAAGCAUCUAAGCGGGAAGCCUACCUCAAGAUAAGAUUUCCCUAGGACUUUAUGUCCUCUAAAGAGCCGUUCGAGACUAGGACGUUGAUAGGUUGGAUGUGGAAGCAUAGUGAUAUGUGAAGCUGACCAAUACUAAUUGCUCGUGAGGCUUGACUAUACAACACCCAAGCAGUUG